AAUGGGAGAAUGACAAAUCGGAUUUUUCUUCUUAAUUUUCAGUAAUUUUCUCCUGAAAAAAUUUAAAUCCGACUAAAAAUGUUAAAAAUUAGAAGGAGAAAUCUGAUUUGUAAUUUUCUUAUU
rfam:Gossypium hirsutum cultivar TM-1 chromosome 9, whole genome shotgun sequence